UACGUAGGGGGCAAGCGUUGUCCGGAAUCAUUGGGCGUAAAGCGCGUGUAGGCGGUUCGAUAAGUCUGCUGUGAAAGUCCAGGGCUCAACCCUGGGAUGCCGGUGGAUACUGUCGGGCUAGAGUGCGGAAGAGGCGAGUGGAAUUCCCGGUGUAGCGGUGAGAUGCGCAGAUAUCAGGAAGAACACCCGUGGCGAAAGCGGCUCUCUGGAACGGUACUGACGCUGAGACGCGAAAGCGUGGGGAGCGAACAGG
rnacentral:rRNA from 1 species